rnacentral:rRNA from 1 species
AUUGGACGCUGGCGGCAGGCUUAACACAUGCAAGUCGAGCGGAGCGAGGGUGCUUGCACCUUAGCUUAGCGGCGGACGGGUGAGUAAUGCUUAGGAAUCUGCCUAUUAGUGGGGGACAACAUUCCGAAAGGAAUGCUAAUACCGCAUACGCCCUACGGGGGAAAGCAGGGGAUCUUCGGACCUUGCGCUAAUAGAUGAGCCUAAGUCGGAUUAGCUAGUUGGUGGGGUAAAGGCCUGCCAAGGCGACGAUCUGUAGCGGGUCUGAGAGGAUGAUCCGCCACACUGGGACUGAGACACGGCCCAGACUCCUACGGGGGGCAGCAGUGGGGAAUAUUGGACAAUGGGCGGAAGCCUGAUCCAGCCAUGCCGCGUGUGUGAAGAAGGCCUUUUGGUUGUAAAGCACUUUAAGCGAGGAGGAGGCUACUUAGAUUAAUACUCUGGGAUAGUGGACGUUACUCGCAGAAUAAGCACCGGCUAACUCCGUGCCAGCCGCCGCGGUAAUAC